rnacentral:rRNA from 1 species
AUUGAACGCUGGCGGCAGGCUUAACACAUGCAAGUCGAGCGGAGCGAGGGUGCUUGCACCUUAGCUUAGCGGCGGACGGGUGAGUAAUGCUUAGGAAUCUGCCUAUUAGUGGGGGACAACAUUCCGAAAGGGAUGCUAAUACCGCAUACGCCCUACGGGGGACAGCAGGGGAUCUUCGGACCUUGCGCUAAUAGAUGAGCCGAAGUCGGAUUAGCUAGUUGGUGGGGUAAAGGCCUACCAAGGCGACGAUCUGUAGCGGGUCUGAGAGGAUGAUCCGCCACACUGGGACUGAGACACGGCCCAGACUCCUACGGGAGGCAGCAGUGGGGAAUAUUGGACAAUGGGCGGAAGCCUGAUCCAGCCAUGCCGCGUGUGUGGAGAAGGCCUUUUGGUUGUAAAGCACUUUAAGCGAGGAGGAGGCUACUAGUAUUAAUACUACUGGAUAGUGGACGUUACUCGCAGAAUAAGCACCGGCUAACUCUGUGCCAGCAGCCGCAGUAA